rnacentral:lncRNA from 1 species
AGACACCUCAUUCGUCAACUCCCUCGACCGGAGACUUGGGGUACUCCUACCAUAAGCUACUACACCUUGAUACUCGGAAGUCUCACGACCACUCAGUGACUUGGAUUUUUUCAAGUCUCCAACCGAGAAGUUUUCCUCACUCGGGAAAUUAAGGGAGCACUAGCUCAACCUACAUGCUUCACUCACAAAGCUUCAACAUACAAGCUUCAACAAAAGGAAAAAUUCAAAGAACUUAAUGAAGAAGGCCUUGGUGUAUUUAACACAAUACGUUGAAAUGAAGUAAAGCUUGUUUAUUGAUAUCUCCGAUAAGUUACAAAUAUGUACAUAUACAGGAAUCAAAAUAAACAAACAAGAAGGAGCCUUCACAAAGGUUGCUCAGGAGAAGUCUCAGCAGUCGGCAGAGCCC